rnacentral:rRNA from 1 species
GACAGAGGGGGCAAGCGUUGCUCGGAAUUACUGGGCGUAAAGGGCGCGUAGGCGGGAUGCAAGUCGGUCGUGAAAUCCCUCGGCUCAACUGAGGAUCGUCGAUCGAUACUGCCGUUCUUGAGGAUUGCAGAGGAGACUGGAAUUCCCGGUGUAGCGGUGAAAUGUGUAGAGAUCGGGAGGAACACCGGUGGCGAAGGCGGGUCUCUGGGCAAUUCCUGACGCUGAGGCGCGAAAGCGUGGGGAGCAAACGGG